AAACAAAAAGAGGCCGAGUUCAUUCCUCUACUCGGCCUAGGGAAAAUUGGCUCUGUUAAGAGAGCCUUGUGCUAAAAGUUUCCAUUGAGACGUAGGACAACUUACCACUUAAAGAGUAGUUGACCAGUCAUUAUUUACCAAAUU
rnacentral:sRNA from 1 species